ACUCUCGCGGUAUUUUAACGUCAUCCGUUUGUCAGUUCCUGCAACUCAGCAUUACGUUGAACACCUUGUCAAAAAUGAUUGAGAUGGCCAAUCAAAUCAAAAAAGGCGAGUGCCACUGGCCAAUCACAUAACAGAAGACGAGCUUUCCUGUUAACGGAAGCCGAGCGACGGCCAAUCAAAUUAACCAAUAGGCGGGGUUACCGUCGGAGUAGCAGUUACACCGCAUCAAUCAAUCAUAACGGACACACAGAUUUCAAAGGCAGCAGGAUGAAAGAUAACCAUGUGUCUGUGUUCAUCAAUACAUGAAGACUCUGGAGUGGGACAAGAGAAGGAUGAUGGGGUGUAUAUUCCAAUAGACACAUUAAGUGAAAGCUGAUAAAUACAGAGGGCUGGACAGUGGUUUCAUUCAUUAGGUAAAGAGGUGGGACAAGGAUGCUGACAGGACAGGAGGAGGUGACAUUCAGACAUUCAGCGCAGACAUUUUCAUCCAAAGCAACUUGAGGAAGAAAACGGAAGCAGUCAAUCCUAAAAG